AUACGGAGGAUCCAAGCGUUAUCCGGAAUCAUUGGGUUUAAAGGGUCCGUAGGCGGGUUUAUAAGUCAGUGGUGAAAGUUUGCGGCUCAACCGUAAAAUUGCCAUUGAUACUGUAGAUCUUGAAUUAGUGUGAAGUGAUUAGAAUAAGCAGUGUAGCGGUGAAAUGCAUAGAUAUUACUUAGAAUACCAAUUGCGAAGGCAGGUCACUAACACUAUAUUGACGCUGAGGGACGAAAGCGUGGGGAGCGAACAGGAUUAGAUACCCUAGUAGUCC
rnacentral:rRNA from 1 species